AUGCCGCCGGCCAUCGACGUUGCACGCGAGCACAGGAUACCGUUCGCCGUCUUCUGGGUCCAGCCGGCGACAACUCUCGCCACAUACUACCACUACUUCCACGGCCACGCGGAGAUGAUCAACUCCCGUGCCGCCGACACGGCAUGCGUGGUUAGCCUACCAGGUCUGCACCCUCUUAGCAUCCGCGAGAUGCCAUCUUUAAUCAUUGACAAGGACGAGGCCUCCAAGAUGUAUCUCCGAGGGUUCGGUGAACUAUUCGAGCAGAUCGAGCAGGACAAGGCCAUGGUCCUGGUGAACACGUGCGACGCCCUAGAGCUAGAGGCGACGUCGCUAAAGGCAUUACAGUCACACCUGGAUGUCAUCGCCGUGGGCCCGACGGUUCCUCCUGCCGGUGCCGGAGAAGAAGCGAUCCAUCUGUUCCGGCGAGACGAGAAGAAGUACAUGGAAUGGCUGGACUCGCAGCCGGCCAAGUCGGUGGUGUACGUCUCCUUUGGGAGCUUGGGGACGUACAGCCAGCGGCAGGCGGAGGAGAUCCUGCGUGGCCUGCGGUGCUGCGCGCGGGCCUACCUUUGGGUGGUGCGCCGUGAAGGGCGCAUGGAGGAGGUGGAGCGCCUCAUCAUGGGGACGGGCGCCGAGGACGACGAGAGCACGGGGAUGGUGGUGGAGUGGUGCGAUCAGCUGCGGGUGCUGGCGCAUCCCUCGGUGGCGUGCUUCGUCACGCACUGCGGGUGGAACUCGACGCUGGAGGCCGUGGCGUCCGGUGUGCCACCCGUCGCGGUGCCGGGCUGGUCGGACCAGUCGUUGAACGCGCAUCUGGUGGAGGAGUGGGGCGUCGGCGUCCGGGCGGAGCGCGACGCGGAGGGACUGCUGCCCGGCGUGGAGCUGGCGAGGUGCGUGGAGCUGGUGAUGGGUGACGGCGGGACGGCCGCCAAGGUCAAGACCAAUGCCGCUGCUUACCAGGAGAAGGCGCGACAGGCGAUGGCCGCGGACGGCCCGUCGGAGAGGAACCUUGGGAGCUUCGUCAACAGGGUGCGACAUCUAGUUGCUGCCGUGGAGAAAAACCAUGCAUGA
rnacentral:rRNA from 1 species